rnacentral:rRNA from 1 species
GACGAACGCUGGCGGCGUGCUUAACACAUGCAAGUCGAACGAAAAUACCAAGCUUGCUUGGUUGAUUAGUGGCGAACGGGUGAGUAACACGUGAGUAACCUGCCCCUUACUUUCCUGGAUAACUGCUCGAAAGGGUAGCUAAUACGGGAUAUUCUGACCAGUCUGCAUGGGUUGGUUUGGAAAGGUUGUUUUUCUGGUAAGGGAUGGGCUCGCGGCCUAUCAGCUUGUUGGUGGGGUGAUGGCCUACCAAGGCUUUGACGGGUAGCCGGCCUGAGAGGGUGGACGGUCACACUGGGACUGAGAUACGGCCCAGACUCCUACGGGAGGCAGCAGUGGGGAAUAUUGCACAAUGGGCGCAAGCCUGAUGCAGCGACGCCGCGUGAGGGAUGAAGGCCUUCGGGUUGUAAACCUCUUUCGUCAGGGAACAAGGCACUGCUUUUUUGGUGGUGUUGAGGGUACCUGGAUAAGAAGCGCCGGCUAACUACGUGCCAGCAGCCGCGGUAAUACGUAGGGCGCAAGCGUUGUCCGGAAUUAUUGGGCGUAAAGAGCUCGUAGGCGGCUGGUCGCGUCUGCCGUGAAAACUUCCGGCUCAACCGGGGGCUUGCGGUGGGUACGGGCCGGCUAGAGUGCGGUAGGGGUAACUGGAACUCCUGGUGUAGCGGUGGAAUGCGCAGAUAUCAGGAAGAACACCGAUGGCGAAGGCAGGUUACUGGGCCGUUACUGACGCUGAGGAGCGAAAGCGUGGGGAGCGAACAGG